UGGGGAAUCUUGCACAAUGGGCGAAAGCCUGAUGCAGCGACGCCGCGUGGGGGAUGAAGGCCUUCGGGUUGUAAACCCCUUUCGACGGGGAAGAAGCGAAAGUGACGGUACCCGUAGAAGAAGCCCCGGCUAACUACGUGCCAGCAGCCGCGGUAAGACGUAGGGGGCGAGCGUUGUCCGGAUUUACUGGGCGUAAAGCGCGCGCAGGCGGCCCGUUAAGUCGGAUGUGAAAACCUGGGGCUCAACCCCAGGCCUGCACCCGAUACUGGCGGGCUCGAGGCAGGUAGGGGAGAGUGGAAUUCCCGGUGUAGCGGUGAAAUGCGCAGAUAUCGGGAGGAACACCGGUGGCGAAGGCGGCUCUCUGGGCCUGUCCUGACGCUCAUGCGCGAAAGCUAGGGGAGCAAACAG
rnacentral:rRNA from 1 species